rnacentral:rRNA from 1 species
GACGAACGCUGGCGGCGUGCUUAACACAUGCAAGUCGAACGGAAAGGCCCUGCUUUUGUGGGGUGCUCGAGUGGCGAACGGGUGAGUAACACGUGAGUAACCUGCCCUUGACUUUGGGAUAACUUCAGGAAACUGGGGCUAAUACCGGAUAGGAGCUCCUGCUGCAUGGUGGGGGUUGGAAAGUUUCGGCGGUUGGGGAUGGACUCGCGGCUUAUCAGCUUGUUGGUGGGGUAGUGGCUUACCAAGGCUUUGACGGGUAGCCGGCCUUGGAGGGUGACCGGCCACAAUGGGACUGAGAUACGGACCAGACUCGUACGGGAGGCAGCAGUGGGGAAUAUUGCACAAUGGGGGGAAGCCUGAUGCAGCAACGCCGCGUGCGGGAUGACGGCCUUCGGGUUGUAAACCGCUUUCGCCUGUGACGAAGCGUGAGUGACGGUAAUGGGUAAAGAAGCACCGGCUAACUACGUG